rnacentral:rRNA from 1 species
UACAGGGGGUGCAAGCGUUGCUCGGAAUUACUGGGCGUAAAGCGUGCGCAGGCGGUCCAGCAAGUCGGGGGUGAAAACCCGGGGCUCAACCCCGGAAUUGCCUCCGAAACUGCUGGACUUGAAUACGAGAGAGGGUCGCGGAAUUCUUGGUGUAGAGGUGAAAUUCGUAGAUAUCAGGAAGAACACCAGUGGCGAAAGCGGCGACCUGGCUCGAUAUUGACGCUCAUGCACGAAAGCGUGGGGAGCAAACAGG